CGGAGGUGCGAGCGUUGUCCGGAUUUAUUGGGUUUAAAGGGUAGCGUAGGUGGCUAUUUAAGUUACAGUGGUGGAAAUAACAGCCGCUCAACGGUUGAGGUGCCAUUGAUACUGAUUAGCUUGAAAUAAAUUGGAGGCUGCCGGAAUGGAUGGUGUAGCGGUGAAAUGCAUAGAUAUCAUCCAGAACACCGAUUGCGAAGGCAGGUGGCUACGAUUUAUUUGACACUGAGGCACGAAAGCAUGGGGAGCAAACAGGAUU
rnacentral:rRNA from 1 species